GUGCCGGCGAUGCGCAAAGAACGCGACUGGCUGCGAGAGGUUUUAUUUUGUUUAUUUCUGCUCUUCCUUCCCCUCCCUCUCCCACUUUAGCCCAGGAACUCCCGCAGCAUUGGUUAAUCCUCCAGGAGGGAUAACUGCUGAGAUCUUCAGCGAGCUCUCCGCUACCACGGAUACUUCCUGGAGCUCCAGCAGCUCUGUGAGGGAUGUGCAGCUACAAGAUCUGAAGGUCCUGCAGGCAGAUCCCCAAGCAGAGAGGACCCACCCGGGUGGAUCCCACCACCCCAAGGCUGGUCCCUUCCAUCCAGGCUCUCUACCAUUUCCCAUCACUUUUGGGGAGGGCUGGAGCUCCUGCCUGAGCAGCUUCGUGCAGAAAUGAACUUUGGCUGGACACAAACAGCACAUAAAGAGGGAAGCCAGAUGAAAACUGAUGCAGGCCUCGGUUUCUUUGGAGUGUAAUAGCUGUGAAAUUUAAACAUGAAAUAAACUAAGAGAAGAAACCCUUAUGCUCGGUGUACCAGCACAGAAGGGAAGCUGGCCAGGCUGACAUCACAAACCCAGAAAACAAGAAUUUGGGGGGAAUUUCCAUUAAUUCCUUAGUGCAUCCUGGUUAGUAGCAGUGCCAAAAGGUGUUGGUGACCUGCAGUGCUCCAUGCCAGUGAUCUGCUGAAAGCCUUUUAUAGGACUCUUGGACAGUUUAUAGACAGCAGCUGACACCUGUAAAAUUCACCUGGAGCUAUUCAGCAGUUUUAAACACCUCGAUGCAAUUUAUCCAGAACUCCUCAUGCACAAAAAAAAGGCAAAAAUUGAUUGGAGUGGCCGAGGAACUCUUCUGUCCUGUCUUUAAAAAGUGGAUAUAAAGCUGUCAGCUUUUACAGCUGCCCUCACUCUGCUUCAAUUAAGCAGAGCUUUGGAGGGGAGAUUCCUUUCCCAGCUUGGAGUCCUGAUGCUCCUGGAGGCUGGUCCAGUGCAGGGAUGGGGUGUGAGGCAGCUUCUGCAGCAGCAACUUCUUCUGCAGCAGCAGCAGCAGCAGCAUCUGCAUCACCUGCAUCUGCAUCAUCUGCGUGUGCAUCCCCUGCAUCAUCUGCAUCUUCUGCAUGUGCAUCCCUUCCUGAGGAAGGUACCGACCCCUCAGCUAUGCUGGGUUUCAGUUUUACUAAUAAAUUCAAAUUAGAAAAAGAAUAGAAAUAGAAGAGGGAAAAAAAUUCUGAUUUUAUGGCUUUGAGAGCUUUGGCAGUGCCAGGCUGCUCACCCAGGGCUCUGCCCAGCCCAGGUCCAGGUGAUCCAGGCAGGGCUUGGUGCCUUCCCAAGGCUCCUGCUCACAUUCCUCCAGGCACCUGGGUUUGAGCAUCCUAAAACUUCUUUUGGCAUAAUACUCAAAGGGACAAAAAAUAUGAUGUGCAAGGUGCUCUUUAUUUGUCCCUGGGCAUCCUGGAGCAGAGGAGGCUCAGGGGGCCCUUGUGGCUCUGCACAGCUCCUGCCAGGAGGGGACAGCUGGGGGGUCGGGCUGUGCUCCAGGGAACAGGGACAGGAGCAGAGGGAACGGCCUCAGGCUGGGCCAGGGCAGGCUCAGGGUGGGCACAGCAGGAAUUCCCCCAUGGAAAGGGGGCUCAGGCACUGGCACUGCCCAGGGAGAGUGGCAGUGCCCAUCCCUGCAGGUGUCCCCUGCAGGUGGCACUCAGAGCUCUGGGCUGGGGAUGGGCACAGCUGGGACUUGGUGACCCUGGAGUUGUUUUCCAGCCUGAAGGAUUCUGGGGUUUCUCCCUCAAAGCUGAUAUUUCCAAACCACCCCAAAUAUUCAACAAGGCCAGAAAUGAUGCAUUUGACUCCCUGGAAGCUGAGAGCUCCUGCAAAUCCCGGGCUGGUCCCACCCCUCACACCGUGCCAGGUGUGAUCACCUGCACCCCCUCCCCUCCCUGGCUGCUCAUCACUCUCAGAUGGAAGCAGGCAGUGAUCUGCACUCCCUCAAGCCUCAUUGCCAGGAGCAGCAUGGAUUUCCCAGCCAUUUUCCUGUAUGGAUAUGGCAGGAAUUGUGUGCAAUAUUCCAGAAGGGCUCCAGCAGUGGCUCACAGGGAACAUUCCAGCAUUAACCACCUCUCACCUCGCCCAUACCCUGCUCUGCUCCUCCCAGCAGCAGCACAAGGAGCAGCUGAUUUCCUGUUUAAUGCCCAGAAUCACUUGUUACACACAGCAGCACACUUCCUUCCAGGGCUCCAGUCCUGGAGCUGCCCUUUCCACAGGUUUGGGAUGGCUUCAGCCAGUCCCUACAAAGCACUGAGCCCCCAGACCCAGUCCCUGGAAUAAAACAGCCCAAGGCCUCCACCAAACCCUCUCUGGGUGUGGACACAACUUGGAACACUGAUUUUAAAAAGCAAACCUUCACUGUUUGGUGCUGGAGCUCGUGCUCUGACUGCCCUGGCCAGUGGGAUUUGCUGCUCUGGGAAUUCCUCGUGGAUUUUGGAUCCAAACACAACCAGAGGAGCUGCUGAGUGCCCCAGCUUGGAAGGAGGAGGUCCCAGCUUAGAAGGAGCAAUACUUCAAUCAAAGGCUGAAAUCACUCAAUUUAUUCAUUUCAGAGGACUCUGCAUGAGCCCCCUGAGUGCCCUGAGCACAAGGCUGGGAGCCAGGACCCCCAGCCCACCUGGGACCCACCAAGGGGAUCAGAAGGGACCUUCCUGCCCCUGGAACUCCCUGCAAGGAGGGUCUGGGUGGGCUUUGGUCUCUUCUCCCGAGACAGGACAUGAGGAAACGGCCUCAAGUUGUACCAGGGCAAGUUUAAAUCAAAUAUUGGGAAAAUUCCUCCUUGUGCAGCCCUGGCACAGCUGCCCAGGGCAGGGCUGGGGUCCCCAUCCCUGGGGGAUUUCACAGCCCUGUGGAAGUGGCACCUGGGGACAGGGUCAGUGAGGCUCCAUGACCCAGCUGGGCUUUCCCAGCCUGGCCAGUUCUGGGAUCCUGUGGCUCUCUGUGUCCCCAGCUGUGCAGCACCCACACAACUCCCCCCAAAAUCCCCCCCUGGGGGUGCAGGGGUCAGGAACAGCCAGGUUUGGGUUCCCUCAGUGGCCAGGUGCUGCUCAUGGCUGCCAGGAGGAGCAGGCUUGCCCAGCUGGGGACAGCAAUCCCAGCCAGGACUCAUCUGGGGGCUCCUGCCUGGCCAAGGCUCCUUGGGAUUGCCCCAGGGGGGCUGCUCCUGCUGGGGGCUGUUCCCUGGUGCACAGGAGGGGCUGUGCAGAAGCUCCUGGGUGGGAGGAUCCAGGCCUGGUGGCUCAGGAAGGGUUUCCCUGUCCUGGGGGUGUCAGAGGAUCUGCUGGGCUCCUCCCAGUAAGGGAAACACUGGAGCAUCACCUUGGCUGGUUUGAACUCACCACAGCCUCUGAGCUCUGUGCUGUGUGCAGGGAUUCUGAUUUGGGGUUCAUCUGAGGGGUGGCAGUUUGGGCAGGGUGGGUUUAUCCCUCCCAUCCCUUCCCUGGAGCUGCUGGGAGCUCAGCCUGGGAGCAGCCUGAACCUCUGGGUGCUCGGGGGUGGGGGAGACCCUUUUUUGGGAGGAGUGGGGGAGCACCUGCAGCUUCAUGGCCCAGGUGAUGUGGGCAGCUCGAUGUGAGUGUCUGAGAGCAUUAAAAAUCUCUUUAAUUUGGAUUUCA